GUUGUUGGGUUCCUCUGGGCUUAUCUGCGCCACUCGCCCGCCACACAUUCCGCAGUCGUAAGCCGCUAUCAUGGUGAAGCUCGCAAAGGCUGGUAAAAAUCAAGGUGACUCCAAGAAAAUGGCUCCUCCCCCAAAGGAGAUAGAAG